rnacentral:rRNA from 1 species
GGUCAAGCUACAAAGGGCUCACGGUGGAUACCUUGGCACACAGAGGCGAUGAAGGACGUGGUUACCUGCGAUAAGUCUCGGGGAGCUGGAAACACGCUUUGAUCCGGGAAUUUCCGAAUGGGGCAACCCCUAGAACGGUCCGCUGAAUCCAUAGGCGGACGCGAGCCAACCCAGCGAACUGAAACAUCUUAGUAGCUGAGAAACGCAAUCCCGCCCCCU